rnacentral:rRNA from 1 species
GAUGAACGCUGGCGGCGUGCCUAAUACAUGCAAGUCGAGCGAACGGACGAGAAGCUUGCUUCUCUGAUGUUAGCGGCGGACGGGUGAGUAACACGUGGAUAACCUACCUAUAAGACUGGGAUAACUUCGGGAAACCGGAGCUAAUACCGGAUAAUAUUUUGAACCGCAUGGUUCAAAAGUGAAAGACGGUCUUGCUGUCACUUAUAGAUGGAUCCGCGCUGCAUUAGCUAGUUGGUAAGGUAACGGCUUACCAAGGCAACGAUGCAUAGCCGACCUGAGAGGGUGAUCGGCCACACUGGAACUGAGACACGGUCCAGACUCCUACGGGAGGCAGCAGUAGGGAAUCUUCCGCAAUGGGCGAAAGCCUGACGGAGCAACGCCGCGUGAGUGAUGAAGGUCUUCUGAUCGUAAAACUCUGUUAUUAGGGAAGAACAUAUGUGUAAGUAACUGUGCACAUCUUGACGGUACCUAAUCAGAAAGCCACGGCUAACUACGUGCCAGCAGCCGCGGUAAUACGUAGGUGGCAAGCGUUAUCCGGAAUUAUUGGGCGUAAAGCGCGCGUAGGCGGUUUUUUAAGUCUGAUGUGAAAGCCCACGGCUCAACCGUGGAGGGUCAUUGGAAACUGGAAAACUUGAGUGCAGAAGAGGAAAGUGGAAUUCCAUGUGUAGCGGUGAAAUGCUCAGAGAUAUGGAGGAACACCAGUGGCGAAGGCGACUUUCUGGUCUGUAACUGACGCUGAUGUGCGAAAGCGUGGGGAUCAAACAGGAUUAGAUACCCUGGUAGUCCACGCCGUAAACGAUGAGUGCUAAGUGUUAGGGGGUUUCCGCCCCUUAGUGCUGCAGCUAACGCAUUAAGCACUCCGCCUGGGGAGUACGACCGCAAGGUUGAAACUCAAAGGAAUUGACGGGGACCCGCACAAGCGGUGGAGCAUGUGGUUUAAUUCGAAGCAACGCGAAGAACCUUACCAAAUCUUGACAUCCUUUGACAACUCUAGAGAUAGAGCCUUCCCCUUCGGGGGACAAAGUGACAGGUGGUGCAUGGUUGUCGUCAGCUCGUGUCGUGAGAUGUUGGGUUAAGUCCCGCAACGAGCGCAACCCUUAAGCUUAGUUGCCAUCAUUAAGUUGGGCACUCUAAGUUGACUGCCGGUGACAAACCGGAGGAAGGUGGGGAUGACGUCAAAUCAUCAUGCCCCUUAUGAUUUGGGCUACACACGUGCUACAAUGGACAAUACAAAGGGCAGCGAAACCGCGAGGUCAAGCAAAUCCCAUAAAGUUGUUCUCAGUUCGGAUUGUAGUCUGCAACUCGACUACAUGAAGCUGGAAUCGCUAGUAAUCGUAGAUCAGCGUGCUACGGUGAAUACGUUCCCGGGUCU